rnacentral:rRNA from 1 species
AAUAGAUACCCGGGUAGUCCACGCCGUAAACGAUGAGUGCUAAGUGUUAGAGGGUUUCCGCCCUUUAGUGCUGCAGCUAACGCAUUAAGCACUCCGCCUGGGGAGUACGGCCGCAAGGCUGAAACUCAAAGGAAUUGACGGGGGGCCCGCACAAGCGGUGGAGCAUGUGGUUUAAUUCGAAGCAACGCGAAGAACCUUACCAGGUCUUGACAUCCUCUGCCAACCCUAGAGAUAGGGCGUUCCCCCUUCGGGGGGACAGAGUGACAGGUGGUGCAUGGUUGUCGUCAGCUCGUGUCGUGAGAUGUUGGGUUAAGUCCCGCAACGAGCGCAACCCUUGAUCUUAGUUGCCAGCAUUCAGUUGGGCACCCUAAGGUGACUGCCGGUGACAAACCGGAGGAAGGUGGGGAUGACGUCAAAUCAUCAUGCCCCUUAUGACCUGGGCUACACACGUGCUACAAUGGAUGGUACAAAGAGCUGCGAACCCGUGAGGGUAAGCGAAUCUCAUAAAGCCAUUCUCAGUUCGGA